CCCCAACGUAAAUGGUUGUUGAAAGGCGUAGCAUUGUAACUGCAUAUGUAUACUUUUUUGUUUACCGCGGGUUCGAAUCCCUCUCUUUCCG
rnacentral:tRNA from 1 species